rnacentral:lncRNA from 1 species
CUCAAUGCCAGAACAGUUACUUGAAUUUCAGAAUGUGAAUUAAGGGGCACACAGAUCCAGAAAAGGCUUUAUUAGGAAUGUUUAAGGUACAGUGUUGCAAACUUGAUUCGCACUGUAUUUUAAACAGAGUUGAAAACCCAAGGAAGCCACAACACAGGCUUUUUGACUACCAAGUUUGAGUAGCUACACAUUAUAUACAGAUUUAGCAAUGGUUUCCUGGAUUGCAAGACCCUGCCACACUGAGUUAAGUCAGACCAACUUGCAAAGGGCAUUUUUCCACGUUACCAGAAAGGCUCUGAAUAACAACCCCACUUCCCAGGUACCAUAGAGCAGGUCUGCUGGCCUGUUCCCCUCUCCUCAUGCGCUGGGGGCGUACUGCAUGGCAAGUCGAUCAAAGUCAUUCUCCUUUGCCUGAUACUCCUUUAUGAAUGGAUGAUUUUUAUGCGCAUCCUUCAACUGUGACAAAUAACGAUUUGUAACCUCUGGUGGUUUGCCCAAGUGUUGUGACAGGACAACGAAGUUGAUCAAGGUCUCAGGAUGGCCACUAUCCUUGUCCAGUGCCUCCUGAAGUACUCCCUCUGCAUCAUCCCACUUGCCCUGAGCCAUAUAGCAGGCUGCCUGCCCAUUAAGCAGGAGGAGGGUGGAGGAGCAUUUGUCUGCCAUCUCUUGGAAGAUGUAAUAGGCAUCCUGUAACUUCUC